UGACCUCAAAUCAGUAG
rnacentral:rRNA from 1 species